UACGAAGGGGGCUAGCGUUGCUCGGAAUUACUGGGCGUAAAGCGCACGUAGGCGGAUCUUUAAGUCAGGGGUGAAAUCCUGGAGCUCAACUCCAGAACUGCCUUUGAUACUGAGAAGCUUGAGUCCGGGAGAGGUGAGUGGAACUGCGAGUGUAGAGGUGAAAUUCGUAGAUAUUCGCAAGAACACCAGUGGCGAAGGCGGCUCACUGGCCCGGUACUGACGCUGAGGUGCGAAAGCGUGGGGAGCAAACAGG
rnacentral:rRNA from 1 species